AUUCUUUCUCUCCUCCGCCGUCCCGCCGUCAAGUGCGUUCGCCAUGGCCAGGGUUUUGAGCUCUACUCUACUAGGGUUUGGGCGCACCCCUUGUUCUUCUUCUUUUUCUUCUUCUCAUUGCUCGUCUUCUCUCUUCCUCCAUUGGCAAUGGCGCCGGCUCUACUCCUCUGGCUCAAGGUUCAGCAUGAGCCUCAAAGCCGGCAUCGUUGGCCUCCCCAACGUCGGCAAGUCAACCCUCUUCAACGCUGUUGUUGAAAAUGGAAAAGCUCAAGCAGCUAAUUACCCUUUCUGCACGAUAGAACCAAAUGUUGGUAUAGUUGCAGUUCCAGAUUCACGAUUAAAUGUUCUUUCUAAUCUCAGCAAAUCUCAGCGUGCUGUUCCAGCAUCUAUAGAAUUUGUAGAUAUUGCUGGUUUAGUAAAAGGUGCCAGUAAAGGAGAGGGGCUGGGUAAUAAAUUUCUAUCACACAUUCGUGAAGUGGAUUCUAUAUUGCAGAUUGUUCGCUGCUUUGAUGAUAAUGAUAUUGUUCAUGUAAAUGGGAAAGUUGAUCCAAAAUCAGAUAUUGAUGUCAUUAAUUUAGAGCUAGUGUUCUCUGAUCUUGAUCAGAUAGAAAAGAGGCUUGAAAAACUUAAGAAGAGCAAAGCUAAAGAUUCACAAUCCAAAGUAAAGGAGGAAGCAGAGAAAUCGGCAUUGGAAAAAAUUCAACAGACACUCAUGGAUGGAAAACCUGCAAGAUCUGUAUCUUUAACAGAUUUUGAGAGAGAAUCUAUACAGCACCUUUGUCUUCUCACCAUGAAACCAGUUAUAUAUGUAGCUAAUGUGGCCGAAUCUGACCUUGCUGAACCAAAGAGCAAUCCUUAUGUCAGAGAAGUAAUGAUUGCUGCCUUAGAAUUGCAAUCUGGCAUAGUGACAAUUUCAGCACAGGUUGAAUCUGAGCUUACUGAGCUACCGCUAGAAGAGAGAAUCGAGUAUUUAAAGUCGCUUGGUGUUAAUGAAAGUGGACUUGGGAAUCUGAUUAGAGCCACAUACAAUCUUUUGGGGUUGCGGACUUAUUUUACAUCUGGAGAGAAGGAAACAAAAGCAUGGACUAUCCUUGCAGGCAUGACAGCCCCUCAAGCUGCUGGAGUUAUUCACUCUGACUUUGAGAAAGGUUUUAUUCGAGCAGAGACUGUAGCUUAUGAUGAUUUUGUUGCUGCUGGUUCACUGGCAGCUGCAAGGGAGAAAGGACUUCUGAGGUCUGAGGGAAAGGACUACAUUGUUCAGGAAGGCGAUGUCAUGCUAUUCCGGUUCAAUGUUUGAUAAACAUGAUAACACUUCCAAGUAAAUGAUCUUACAGCUUGUGUCUCAUUACAUGCAAACCGGUGUGGAUCCUACUCCUUGCAAAUAUUCCACAUCAUAGGAACAAGAUGGCUUCUCAUUUUCUCAGAGCCAACUCAUCAGAAAAAUCCGAAUCUGCUGACAAAUGUGAUAAUUAAGAGGUAAAGAAUUCAACUGUUACCAUCUCUUCAGAAUCUUUUCAGAUUAUAGUAUAAUGGACACCAGCAACUCCUUUCUUCAAACUGGUUAUAUUGGUUAGAUAGAAUGACACUUCUUUGUCAUUGAAAGUGAUGCAAUUCUAUUCUUAUCUUGUUGUCUUCCAUUUAUUGAAUGUGGUUGGCCCAUAUGCUUGCUUCCAAGCUAAACAAGCCAAUUUAUACAA